AGUGAACGCUGGCGGUAGGCCUAACACAUGCAAGUCGAACGGCAGCACAGUAAGAGCUUGCUCUUACGGGUGGCGAGUGGCGGACGGGUGAGGAAUACAUCGGAAUCUACUUUUUCGUGGGGGAUAACGUAGGGAAACUUACGCUAAUACCGCAUACGACCUACGGGUGAAAGCAGGGGAUCUUCGGACCUUGCGCGAUUGAAUGAGCCGAUGUCGGAUUAGCUAGUUGGCGGGGUAAAGGCCCACCAAGGCGACGAUCCGUAGCUGGUCUGAGAGGAUGAUCAGCCAGAAGGGAACUGAGACACGGUCCAGACUCCUACGGGAGGCAGCAGUGGGGAAUAGUGGACAAUGGGCGCAAGCCUGAUCCAGCCAUACCGCGUGGGUGAAGAAGGCCUUCGGGUUGUAAAGCCCUUUUGUUGGGAAAGAAAAGCAGCAGGUUAAUACCCCGCUGUUCUGACGGUACCCAAAGAAUAAGCACCGGCUAACUUCGUG
rnacentral:rRNA from 1 species